rnacentral:rRNA from 1 species
UACGGGGGGGGCAAGCGUUGUUCGGAAUUACUGGGCGUAAAGGGCUCGUAGGCGGCCAACUAAGUCGGACGUGAAAUCCCCAGGCUCAACCUGGGAACUGCGUCCGAUACUGGAUGGCUUGAAUCCGGGAGAGGGAUGCAGAAUUCCAGGUGUAGCGGCGAAAUGCGUAGAUAUCUGGAGGAAUACCGGUGGCGAAGGCGGCAUCCUGGACCGGCAUUGACGCUGAGGAGCGAAAGCCAGGGGAGCAAACGGG